AUUGUCUAAAGUGCCCUAAUAUAUUGGCUGGUUGAGGUUUCAACAUAGGAACAAAAAUACAAACAUCUGCCACUGGAAGUUUCUUCUAAUGACUGUUCCCCUUGACUUGUGAGUUCCAAGGAGGUGAGACGGUGUGCUUUGUUGUCUUUCUCAAACAGUGAUGAUGGUGCAUGCGCAAGGGUUGUGCGGCAAUAGCUCAUUAUAUGUAUGUCCAUACAUUCCCUGUUUGGUGAAUCGGUUCGGUUUGUUUUUUCCUCCCCUGCUUGCCCUGGUGUUUUUCUCGAGAUGCAGAAUGAAGUAGUUGGCCAAGUGUAUAAGAUUAUAUAUAUACCUUCUGCGGCUGAUAUUGGUGCUAUCUGCAUAUGUAGCAAACAAAGUAACCGGUAUGCUCAUCUUCUUUGUCUCUCUCUGUCUCUCUGUCUUUGUUAUGAUAUACAUUCAUGGGCUUAUUUUAUUGAGGUUGUGUUUGUUUUGUUAUGAGAGAUGAUAUGGCCCAUGUGUUUGCAAAUAUGUUUGACUAAAAGAUUGAGAUGUUUCGGCUUCCACACAUUGUGCCUAUUUUAUUGAUGUUGUGUUUGUUUUGUUAUGAGAUGAUUGGUCCACCAUGUGUUUGCAAAUAUGUUUGACUAAGAGAUUGAGAUGUUUUGGCUUCCAUACAUUGAUCACCAUGUGUUUGAUCAAAUCCUAAGAAAAAAUUAACAAAGCUACUAGCAGUGAAAGUUGUUUAUGACAAGCGUUCUUUUGUGACCCAUAAAUUAAUUAGUGAUUGAAAUUUUUAGGGAUUAGGACUCAUGGUUUGAAGUAUAUGAAUAUAGUAGUGGCAAGAACAAGUUACUGGCAGUGAAAAGUGAUUUCUCACAUACACUUUAAUUGGAGCAAAAAAAAAAUUCAGGUAUGCAAAUUCUCUUUAAAAAGAGUGUUGCCAAUCAACUAAGAAAUAAGCAAAGGAUGAAAAGCAACUUGAAAAACAAGUUCUGGGUUUACAAUCUAAAGCGGCUGAAAAAUCCACUUAAAAUCCACCUUGAUGUUGAGAAAAAAAAAAUAGCAGGAAAAAAAAAACCAGCAAACCAGGAAAACAAGAGCAGGAAAAAAAAAGGGCAAACCAAGAAAAAAAAAGAAAAAGGAAGCCCAACUUGACAAUUAAAACAACUUAUCCCAAUGUCUAAGUGGCCAAUAAAUAUUUAAGCCUAGAAAAUUGAGCAUAAAACCAUAUCAUGAUGUUAGCCAAUAAAUAUUUCACCUAAAUAGCUCUACACUCCACAGUAUUUGUUUUCCAUCCAAGACAUAACCUUAUUGGAAACAAUAUCAAAUGAGAUCCACCAAUUAAAAUUUGCCACUGAUUUUGCGUAGAUAUAAACGCAAACUUUUAGUAGUUGAUAACUAACCUUUGGCAGCCAGCAACUUUUUACUUAUGUGCAGGAAGAACAUUUCUCCAAACCUGAUAUAACUCACCUAGAUGAAGUUUUUAUGCUUCUAGGAAAAGAAGAAAAUCAUAAUGAACUUGAAAAAUCAUAAUAGUUAAAAUGUAGAUGUAGUUUACAUGUGAUUUUGAGAUUGGUAUGAUUUUGAUUUGAAUAGUUGAAUUUUUCAUUGAAUUUAAUGAAAUGUGAAUGGAUAAUAAUAAAAAAAAAAUCAAACACAAUUGAUUGGGAAUGUGUAAAAAUAAAGGGAAUGGAAUAAUGUGAAAUGUGAAUGUGAAUGGCUUAAAAAAAAAGAAUAACGUGGAAUGUGAAUGGUUUAAGAACUAAAUAUUUGAUAGCAUAACUGAGAGGAAGAUAUCCUAAUUCGGCAAAUUCAUUUUAACGUUAGUGGAACUUUUAGUGAUGCCAACAGAGGUUUUUUUUUUUUUUUUAAUUUUUUUUCCUUUUUGAUUCGUUAGUUGUUUGUAACUUUUAGGUGUUAAAAUUAUGGGCAUUUGUGAAUCUUCCCAGAUCUCGUAUUCCCUCUUUAGAUGAGAUGAGUCCACUGUGGCCUUUGAAAGCAUUUGAAUAUUUGUAUAAUUGUUGUUAACUUUGUUUAAGAUUAUGACAGAAAUUUCAGAGGCUUGAAUUUCUCCAAACCUGAUGUAGCUCACCUAGAUGAAGUUUUUAUGCUUCUAGGAAAAGAAGAAAAUCAUAAUGAACUUGAAAAAUCGUAAUAGUUAAAAUGUAGAUGUAGUUUACAUGUGAUUUUAAGAUUGGUAUGAUUUUGAUUUGAAUAGUUGAAUUUUUCAUUGAAUUUAAUGAAAUAUGAAUGGAUAAAAAAUAUAUAUAUUUGAUGUUGAUGAUCAACUACUAAAAGUUGGUGUUCUAUCUAAGCAAAAAAAUUAAGGUAUGCAAACUCUCUUUCAAAAGAGUGUUGCCAAUCAACAAAGAAAUAAGCAAAGGAUGAAAAGCAACUUGAAAAACAAGUUCUGGGCUUACAAUCUAAAGCGGGUGAAAAAUCCACUUAGAAUCCACCUUGAUGUUGAGAAAAAAAAAAAAAAACCAGCAAACUAGGAAAACAAGAGCAGGAAAAAAAGAGGGCAAACCAAGAAAAAAAAAAGAAAAAGGAAGCCCAACUUGACAAUCAAAACAACUUAUCCCAAUGUCUACGUGGCCAAUAAAUAUUUAAGCCUAGAAAAUUGAGCAUAAAACCAUAUCAUGAUGUUGGGGCUUAAUGAAUGUGAACGAAAUUAUCUUACUAAUUUGUCAAUAACAUAUUUGUGACCAAAUAUGUACAAAUUUGGAAGCGAUGUGGUUGCACAUAUUGCUUUCACCUAAAUAACUCUACACUCCACAGUAUUUGUUUUACAUCCAAGACAUAACCUUAUUGGAAACAAUAUCAAUUGAGAUCCACUAAUUAAAAUUUGCCACUGAUUUUGCUUAGAUAGAAACACAAACGUUUAGAAGCUGAUAACUAACCUUUGGCAGCUAGCAACUUUUUACCUAUGUGCAGGAAGAACAUUUCUCCAAAAUGUGAAUGGUUUAAGAACUAAAUAUUUGAUAGCAUAACUGGAAGAAAGAUAUCCUAAGAACAACAAGUAUUCAAACAUUUGAAAAACAACUUCAUUCGAGAACAUAUAAUGUUGAAUAGAGCGGGAAAAAAAAAAAAAAAAAA